rnacentral:lncRNA from 1 species
AAACACACAACAACUGUAUAUCAUUGGCAGUUCAUCCAACAGUUGCAUUUCAUACUUCAGGGUCAUGUGGAAGCACCAAGAUCCCAAUCCCACAGCUGAAAACACCAAAGCCAUGGUUAGAAUACAAGUCUAUACCAAAAAUAUUUCUGGUGCAUUAACUUAAACAUGCAAAAUUACUGGAAAAAAAAUAUUAAGCCAUUAGCAUUCCAUCUCAGGAACACAAACCCAAUUUUCC